CAGGACGAACGCUGGCGGCGUGCCUAACACAUGCAAGUUGAGCGGAGAUAUAUGGAGCUUGCUUUAUAUAACUUAGCAGCGAACGGGUGAGUAACACGUAGAUAAUCUAUCCUAUACUGGGGGAUAGCCCGAUGAAAGUUGGAUUAAUACCGCAUAUAGCUAUAUAGUUGCAUGAUUAUGUAGUGAAAGAUUUAUUGGUAUAGGAGGAGUCUGCGGCACAUUAGCUAGUAGGUGAGGUAAAGGCUUACCUAGGCGACGAUGUGUAGCCGGUCUGAGAGGAUGAACGGCCACAAUGGAACUGAGACACGGUCCAUACUCCUACGGGAGGCAGCAGUGGGGAAUAUUGCACAAUGGGGGAAACCCUGAUGCAGCAACGCCGCGUGAGUGAAGAAGGUUUUCGGAUUGUAAAGCUCUGUUAGCAGGGAAGAGGAAGGACGGUACCUGCAGAGGAAGCCACGGCUAACUACGUGCCAGCAGCCGCGGUAAUACGUAGGUGGCAAGCGUUGUUCGGA
rnacentral:rRNA from 1 species